AAAAGACCAACAGAUAAAUAAGAGUGCACAAAACACAACAUAAAAACCUAAAGAUUGAGCAACACGAGCCCAACCACAACCUGGGGAUGAUCUCAGGUGUUCCGGAAGGGUAAGCAGAACCUGGGGGUGAUCUCAGGUGUUCCGGAAGGGUAAGCAGAUCCUGAUCCAUAUGUGGCAUUCUUCAUGUUGCUCAUGUUAGUACAAACCCGGUAAUUUGUCUAAUUCGGUAUGACACAUUCGGGAAAAGGGGACGGGAUUGCAGUUACGACAUUAGGAACAUAUCCGUUUUCAUCUGUGAAAUGGAUAUUCCAUAACAGUCAACCAACUCGUUAUGGCCCUCAGUAAAACUUACAAAGGAAUGAUUUCAACUUCAACACUUGGAACAGUUAGUUUAAUUGCUUUCUUGUGAGCAGCAACCCUCUAUCAAGGAAAUCAUGAUCGGAAAUACAAGCCCUGGAAUAUCGUAUCAACUGGGAGAUAUAUACUCAAAACUUGCAAUAAGCAAAUUGUAUAUGAUAAUCUUGAUGGAACAGAAGAGGUUAUUUUAGAAAUUGGUAAAUCCAUCCUGCGAUAUAUAACCGUGUCGUCAAAAGUAUGCUACUUAC
rnacentral:lncRNA from 1 species